GUUAAAUCUGGAUGAUAGGGGGUUGGGAGAAUCAAUUUGGUGUGUCUUAGAUAGCUUGUCAUGAGGGAGAUUUGUAGAAAAAUGACAAGUAUUUAAGGGUUUGAAAAAUGGUAUUUAAGUUAAGAGUAGAGUGGUAAUUUGCCUUUAUGGCAAAUUUGUAAUUAUUUACAUCUUCUUCCUUAGGUUUUUGAAAUUAGACGAAACAAAAGGGGGGGAAACGUGAGGCAGCCGACAGUCACAAAAGAGAGAAAAAAUUGAGAGAGUGAAGCAACAAUCGACGGGUUAGAUACAUUCGGCGUUCGACGGAGCUUAGCCGUUGGCGACUUUGAGGCAGUGGUGUUUCAGUUUUAGUUCGGCGUCGGGGUCCGUUGGAGUCAUAUUAGGCCGGAAUUGGGUCUCUGUCUAAGUGGUUUCAGCGUGGGUCUCUCGUAUACUCUUGGAGUUUCAGUGGACGGUAGCGAAGGACAUCUAAUGUUGAACUUGCAGCCUUGAAUGAAAUAUGUUGUGCCAUUCGUGAAUGCAUCUUUUAGGUAAUGACCAUUGUCAACUCGCAUAGCAUGUAGAAGCUAGGUGCGAAUAGUCUAAAUGUUAUUUUGAGUUGUGUAUAGUUCUAUGAAGGAAAUUUUGUAUUAAGUACUAAAUGUACUAUGUUAAUUGAAUAUCAAUGAAGUUCCUUAUUUUAUUUGAGUUCA